rnacentral:SRP_RNA from 1 species
GUCGAGCUCAGUAACUCGGGCUUGUGAUUCAAGUGGAGACAAUAAGGUGAUGGGACGUUGGGUCGAUCUCAUUGGGCCGGAUUCGGGUUGGGCUAUAUUCUGGCCCGCCCAUUCCAAGUUGGGAGUUGAGAUAUGGGGUUUGAGCGAAGGCUCGGGUCUCAAGUCUUCUAGAGUGGGGGAGACCGCGUGAGGCUGGUUUCAGCUAUAUGCUGGUAUGUGAGGUGGACGCUGGUAUGUGAAACCAGCCUCACACAGAGUCACAUACCUGAAUGAGUAUCAGCUAU